ensembl:lncRNA FAM174A-DT FAM174A divergent transcript
GAGGACGUGACCGUUUUGGAAGCAUUGUUCUUUUCACUGUUAGUGAGGAGCGGUCAAGGAUGCGUAUUAAGAAAGAUCUUAUUCACUGAUUUGAAGAGUUCAUGCAUCGAGCCAGUAGGCUGUGCACAUGGGUAAAAACUGGCUGCGGCUAAACAGGCCUCAUCGGAGCACAAAGUUCCAAGUGACUUCAAAGGGUUUUCUGUACUUGGAGCAGCUCUAUGGGACAUGGAAGAUGAGAAAUGAACCGACACCAGAGGUGCAAUGAAAGGUAAAACUCAUAGCAUCACCACAGCUCUUAGGUAAGUGGCAGCCUAAAUUACUGCAUCUGGAUAUAUGAAUCUUAUGGGUUCAUGAUGGAAAAGAUGACAAGCAUUAAGGCCAAAAAUAAAUCUGAGUUUGUUCACUGGAUGCAGGAAAAGUUUUCCUAACCAAAUAAUGUGGGUAACAUUUCAUUAUUAGCAUGGAAAUAUGUCCACUUUCAUGUUUAGAGAAGGAAAUAGUAAAUGAAUGAUCAAACAUAAAAGCAAAAUACAGCAUUCACAGUAGGUAUCCAAUGUAACAUGCUAUUUAGAUAAAAACAGUCCCUUCAAAGUCCAGUAUGUUUUUAAAAGCCUGAUAUUUACAGUUGUAUGAUUUCUAGGGAAAUUGAGAAAUUAAAUAUAUAUCCAGCAACAUACAGAAGAAACUCUGUAUAUCCAUUUGUACCAGCCUCUCUUCUCUCUAAAAGAUUGGCCUUCGGAAAGUGAAGGAAGAUUGGAUUCAGACACUAUGUCCUCUUACACAAAUUGUUGCAAUAACUUGUCAUAAACAGGAAAAUAUAAAAUUAAAUGCAAUGUUUAUAUACAUAUAAAUGUUAAAAAGAGCACAAUAUUACAAAAUUAGGUGGUUUAUAUUUUAGGUAGAUUGUAUGUGUACUUGAUAAAAUAUUAUAAAAUUUGCAUUUUUGUUAACUUAAUUCUUUGAAUAAUUGUGAUUUGAUAUUAAUCAAUCUGAAAUUUUUUCUCCAGGAUUUAAGAUGUUUAUUCUCUCUUAAUUUAAGUAUCAAUUUAAGUAUUUGCACUUGUGGACUUUAUUUCUUUUUAUUUUCAUGAAGAUUCCCACCUUACAAAUAUCACUUUCAGGGUUCUUAGGGAUCAUAUUAUUAUUUUACAAUUUAUUGAAAAUGGCAUGAGGUUAGAUAUCAUCAGAUUCUUUUGGAAAGUUAUUAUAAACAAGAACAUGUUUCCCUUUUUAGCUGAAUGACAGUAUAUCUGUUUAGCAUGAAUACUUAAAAGCAGCUUGAAUUUCAUUGUUCAUGCUCAUCAUUUACAGUUUUCUAUAGCAAUAUUAUUUUUUCUGGAAUGUGCCUUAGAAUGCAGACAAUAAAGGCUGAAUGAGAGAAAUGUUAGGCUAGGCUUAACAAAACACAUUGCAAUUAUUGUUUCUUCAAUUAUGUCUAAAAUGAUUGCUUAUAAAACAAAAUUACAUGAUAAUAUUAUCUUAAAACCAGCUAUAUUCAAUAAUUGUCUUCUCACUAUCUUUCUAAUGUGUUAGCACUCAUUCUAUACAGUUUGUAUUAAUAUAUCUUAUACUCUACCUCUAUCCCUCUUAUCAGGCUUCACUUUAACUAGAUAUUUAGGAUAUUAUCUUUACCUGGGAAUGAAAUUAUGUGAUUGGAGGAAGAGAUUCCCUAUAAUUGGCAAUAGGUUUCCUCCUCUAAAAUGUUAGGUCUUUUUGUUUUCUUCUUCUUCUUUAUUCUGGGAUGUGGAUGUGACCUCUUGGUACUGAUUGAAAUUUAUAGUGUUGUAUACCACUGUCAACUUUCCCAAUGUCUGACAGCUUAACAGGGCCCCAAUUGCAGCCACUGCUGCCCACCUUGUUCUUCAGCUUCACUUCUUGAAACAACCUUCUCCACGGUUUCAUGAGAGCAUCUGCUUUUCACUGCAUGGUAUUUGACUCCAAGAUUCACACCUGC